AAGGUCUUUUUGAAUCUACUUGCACUUAUUGUUAAGAAGUAUUAUGUAAAAAUUAAAUAUUUAUUAGUUGCUUUGUGUAUUAUAUAUUACUAGUGAAAUCAUGUACAAUUUGUGCUUUACCAACUCAAGCAAGUAAAUAGCUAGAGAUUGUUCUAAAUCAAAGGUGCUUGUGACCAUUUAAGUUUUUUUCUUUAUGUUGUGCCUCUAUUGUUGUAUAUAGCUCUAACAAAAAAUUUGCUAAAUCUUCUUCUACAAGAUCUUCAACUUUUGAAAAGUCAAAAAUAUCAAGUUAUAGAUGAAAACC
rnacentral:lncRNA from 1 species